rnacentral:misc_RNA from 1 species
GGAAGGAUCAUUGCACACACAAAGUUGCAGCAAACCCCCCUUGCGAAUUUUAUCAUUGUCCCCCCCUUGGGGGGCUGGGGCGUUGCCGCUAUCCUACUUUCUACGAAAGUGGUGGUGGCGUCGUCCCGGCCUGCCAAACCCAAGUCCCUCACAGGGCGGCUUGGGGCUCCCUCGGGGGCCCCUCGUCACCCGCCGGGACUUGGUGUAACCAACCGAUUGCGCAAUGCAUCAACACCUCCAAAAUGACUGAGUAAAAAAAAUCGGGACCCCCCCGCCGCCGCCUUGGUGGUGGUGGUGGUGGUCCCCGAGUUGUAAUAAACAAAAACAACUCUCAGCAACGGAUAUCUUGGCUCUUGCAACGAUGAAGAACGCAGCGAAAUGCGAUACGUAGUGUGAAUUGCAGAAUUCCGCGAAUCAUCGAGUCUUUGAACGCAAGUUGCGCCCGAGGCUUGACCAAGGGCAUCUCUGCCAGAGCGUCACCGCGACACCCACCACACCACUCCAAGUUUGGAGGUGGUCUGUGAGUGAAAGUGGCCAUCCGAAUGGGGCCCACCCGUCUGGGUGGGCAGAUUGGGUUGGCUGAAAUGGAGGGAAUUUGGCCGCCGUGGUGACACAGCCCGCGAUCAGGUGAUCCAGGCUCAACCCCUGGAACUCAAACGUGCGCCGGUUGUGCCACCCAGUUGGUCGGACGGAAUUCCAAAGCAGGUCCUUCUCCCGACGCUGGGCCCCUCACGGGGCCGAGUGGAGGGAGACGUCGUCACGCAUCAGACCUCUGAUCAGAGAAGACUACCCGCUGAGUUUAAGCAUAUCACUAAGCGGAGGAGAAGAAACUAACCAGGAUUUCCCUAGUAACGGCGAGCGAACCGGAAAGAGCCCAGCUUGAAAAUCGUGGUCCCUCGGACCUCGAAUUGUAGUCUGGAGACGCAUCCUCUGCAACGCACCGGACCCAAGUUCCCUGGAAAGGGACGUCAGAGAGGGUGACAACCCCGUCGAGUCUGGACCGUGUUGCUCCACGAGGUGUGGUCGUCGAGUCGGGCUGUUUGGGAAUGCAGCCCUAAGUGGGUGGUAAAUUCCAUCCAAGGCUAAAUAUUGGCAAGAGACCGAUAGCGAACAAGUACCGCGAGGGAAAGAUGAAAAGGACUUUGAAAAGAGAGUUAAAAAGUGCUUGAAAUUGCUGGGAGGGAAGCGAAUGGAAGCUGCGGGUGUGCCCCGGUUGGAUGUGGAACGGCUCGCGCUGGUCCGCCGCUCAACGCGGGGCACUGGUCAGCGUGGGCCACCGCGGCGGGACAAGAGCAGGGUGUAGCUCCCUGCCUAUUGCCGUUGCGGUGGCCGAGGAACGAAGCGCGCGGGGCUCGCCCCGUGGGACCCCGGUCCCAACUGCGCGCUCGGGACGCUGGCGUAUUGAGCUCUUCAUCCGACCCGUCUUGAAACACGGACCAAGGAGUCUAACAUGUAUGCGAGCCGGUGGGCGGCAAACCCAUUGAGGCGCAAGGAAACUGACAGGUGGGACCCCUCGUAAAACAAGGGAGCACCAUCGACCGACCGUGAUCUUCUGUGAAAGGUUCGAGUGUGAGCAUACCUGUUGGGACCCGAAAGAUGGUGAACUAUGCCUGAGCAGGGCGAAGCCAGAGGAAACUCUGGUGGAGGCUCGUAGCGAUACUGACGUGCAAAUCGUUCGUCAGACUUGGGUAUAGGGGCGAAAGACUAAUCGAACCAUCUAGUAGCUGGUUCCCUC